UAGCUCAGUUGGUAGAGCAUGGUGCUUGCAACGUCAAGGUUGUGGGUUUGAUUCCCGU
rfam:Salmo salar isolate Sally breed double haploid chromosome ssa12, whole genome shotgun sequence.